rnacentral:lncRNA from 1 species
GGUAAUGAAAACAAACUUCACGAAAAUUAUAACCAAAUAAACCGUUAUGUAUAACUUAAAAUAUUUCUACAUCUUAUUUUUUGGGGGGGGGAUUCAUUUUUCCCCAUGUCAGGAAAUACUGGACGUCAUAGAUCAAACGUUGACGUCAUUCUAAUUAUGACGUCACACCAGGUAUGCGAUACGGGUUUUGCUAUGCGAUUCGGGGUAUGCGAUACGGGUUUAGCCAUGCGAUACGGGGUAUGCGAUACAGGGUAGGUGAUACAGACUGGAAAAAAGUACCUUUAUCAGAUAUGCAAAAUUGCUGUAUUUUGUACUAAAUAUAUGAUAAAUAUAUAUA